rnacentral:lncRNA from 1 species
AAACACAAGGCACAAAGUGAUUCCAAAAACUCGUGUAUCUUUUAUUAGAAAUCCUUUACACAAUCUCUUACAGACUUGUUUGAUCCGAAUUACACAACUCGACACGGAUCGAUUUCUAACAAACCCAACUUACUUGACUCAACACCUGUUGAUCAAGUCUACCAAUUCACUCAGCUAUGAAACCCCAAAACCCUUUGUGUUUCUCUCUGAGAAUUACAACGUGAAAGCUCUAACCCUAAUCUUAGGUAAAGCCACCAUAUAUAUUAAAUAAUAUUUUCCUAUUAUCUAAUAUAAUAUUUCCUAUAUUUUAACAUCACCAAAUAUUCCAAUUUGUGAUCUAAUAACAUUCCUUUAAUGCUUAUUUCGUCAACCAAGCAUAUGGAAAUAUCACACAUUAUCGCAUCUUGACGUUUCCUUUUUAUUCUCCGAAGCAUGUGUCACACAUUACUCUCCAUGUGUAACACAUGUACACGAACCAAAACUCCAGCACAGCAGCAACCUGUCAAGCUCCAAGUUCUUGAGCUUACAUUCUCCCCCUUUUUCACUGAGUUUUACAACUCAAGCUCAAUAACCUCUAAGCACAAUAUGCAUCAUACAUCCCAUCAAAGUAUUAACUUAAACUCCCUCUGAAUCAAGUACCAUCUCCCCCUGCUUGAGUGGAAAACACUGUGAAAAACUUCAUGAUACUUGUUGGACCAUCAAAACCCUCAACUCCUUCUUCGCCAUCGAACUGGUUCUUCAAGUUCAGUAUAUUGAUCAACCAUUCGAGUGUAUGACACAUUGGUAUGCUCGUGUGACACACCUUUCGUAAACUUGGGAUACAGAUCCUUCUUGGCUAUCCAUACAUAUCCAUACCUUCUAGGUUCCACAUAACAAAGGUUCAUCCUCCAAGCUCGCUCAAUCUGGUGUCUUCGAGAAUAACAGAAAUCAACCUUAUGACCAUGAUUCCCACAAAACAAACAACCAUUCUUCCUAGUUAUUGCAGGCUUUGGAGAGUGUAGUUUUGUCUGAUCAUUAGGUUCUUUUUUCACAGGUGUAGAUGUAUAUCUUUUCUCAGCUUUCGAGCUACUUUCAGGGUUAGAUGGAGUACCUUUUACAAACUUGAUAUCAUCGACUGGAAUAGCUUGAUCUUUUGGAGCAGCACCCUUGUAUCCUAAGCCCCAAUUCACCUUUGGAGGUUGUCCAACUGAUAAUAUAUGAUCUAAAGUUGCAGAUCCUCUGUUCAGCAUCCUUAACUUUUUGUAAUUUUCACUGAGUUCUCUUUGCAGCAGCUGACUUUUCUCGCGUUCCUCAUUCAAUAGCUGUUUCGUCUGAUCAUAUUUAGUCUCCAUACUCUUUAGAUUGUAGGCCUGCUCAGAGAUUUUCUUUUGUGAACUAUGUGGAUCAGACUCCUUCUCUUCUUUUGACACUCCAGUCUCAGAUUUAUUGUUGGUUUCCAACUCUAAAAUGUUCACUUUUGCUUUCAGCAUUGUUGUAUCUUUGAUCAGCUGAAUAUUUUCUUCACUGAGUUUAGCAAAUUGACCAAACAGAACCUGAUACUCAGCUAGAAGAUCCACAUCUAUAUCACUUUCUGCAUCACUAUGUGACACAUCGGAGUUGGUGUGUGACACACACGACGCACGAAAUUCACCUUUAAUGAUGUCUUUUCCAGACCCUAUAGCUCCAUGAAGAGCCACAAAAUUUAGAGCAUCUUCUUUUCUUUCUGGCUUUUUGUCAUUGCAAAUUCUCCUCUUCUUCAUCUUCUUUGUGUUCACACAAUCUGAUUUUAUGUGUCCAUAACCAUUACAUCCAUUGCACUUGAUUUCUUUUCUCUUGAAUGAUGGACAAUCUGUUUUGACAUGUCCACCGCUCCCUGCAUUUUAUUUUUUUCUUCUUCUUUAGGCAGUUUGUCGUUGGACAUCUUAUACAAGAGAUUCAUGGUUUCUUCAAGUUUCUGAAUCAUCAGGUGAAUAGAUUCUUCAAGUUUUUGAGCUCUUUGGAUGUCUUCUUCAACUGUAACUGUAAAGUCUUGAGCAGGUUUUGAAAACUUAGAUUUCAGUUCCAUCUCCUCAGCCUUUAAUAUCCCUACUACCUCAGCAACUUGAGUUCAUCAGUGUUCAUCGUCAAGUUUAUUGCUGCUUUAUGUGCUGCAAACUUAGUAGGCAAACAUCGCAGAAACUUCUUCACCAAUUUUGCAUCUUCGUAUUUUUUACCUAAAACUUGUGCUUCAUUGGCUAUGGAGCUAAGCUUUGCACUGAAAUCUCCUAUCUUCUCAUCAUCUGUCAUUCUUAUGUCUUCAAACUGUGAUGCAAGAAAAUCCAAUCUUAUCCUCCUAAAAUUUGCAGUACCCUCAAAAGCAUUUUGUAGUAUAUCCCAAGCCUCCUUAGCUGAUUCACAUCCCUGUAUAAGCUCAAAUUGCUUUCCAUCUACAGAACUGAAGAUUGUAUCCAGUGCUUUCGCAUUAAACCUUGAAAGUUUUUUCUCUGUUGCAGUCCACUUUGUCUUCGGUUUAAGUGUCUUCAAGCCAUCUUCUUGCAUCACACACGGUUCUUCCCAUCUAGAAGGAACAACUGUCCAGAUAUCUUCAUCAGCUCCACGUAAGUUUGCUCUCAUUCUCACUUUCCAGUACCCAUAAUUCACAUCAUUCAGCAACAACAUAUUAUUUGCCAAAAUCGCCAUAUUCUCUUCUCAGGAUCUCACCUUGGUUCGAAGAACUCUUCUUCGUUUAGAUGUCCGGCUCUGAUACCAAAUGUAAAAUCGAGAUACAGCGAAAACACAAGGCACAAAGUGAUUCCAAGAACUCGUGUAUCUUUUAUUAGAAAUCUUUUACACAAUCUCUUACAGACUUGUUUGAUCUGAAUUACACAACUCGACACAGAUCGAUUUCUAACAAGCCCAACUUACUUGACUCAACACCUGUUGAUCAAGUCUACCAAUUCACUCAGCUAUGAAACCCCAAAACCCUUUGUGUUUCUCUCUGAGAAUUACAACGUGAAAGCUCUAACCCUAAUCUUAGGUAAAGCCACCAUAUAUAUUAAAUAAUAUUUUCCUAUUAUCUAAUAUAAUAUUUCCUAUAUUUUAGCAUCACCAAAUAUUCCAAUUUGUGAUCUAAUAACAUUCCUUUAAUGCUUAUUUCGUCAACCAAGCAU